UAACAAUAUAUAGAAUAAAUAUGUGAUAAAAGAAUCUCUCAUGAUUUGCAAUGGUUUAUGAUUUUGAUCCAACACGUUGUGUGAUUCCUAUUACCUCGCCAAGGCUCUGGGAUAGAAAACACUUAACUCGUUGGAUAAAAACCAUAUUUCAUAGCAAAUCAUGAAAGAAUAUGCAAGGUCAGAUAUGCAUGUGAUUUGACCUUGACCCAGUCAUGGUUAGAAAUGAUCCCAUAGUCCCUAUUUAUGUUUUUGUUUUUAUUUCUUUCUCAUUAAUUAAUUAAUUCAUGUAUGCAUCCCCGCUGAAUUAACAUAAUUUUACAAUUUUAGGUUGAUAGUUAAAUCUAUGGGCACAAUCAAUGUUAAAAUAAAAGUUGUUAUCCUUUGGUGGCAUAUUUCUGCCCCCUACAUGCAAGAAAAUUAUGUCAGCAUGCAAGAUGAUAAUGUCUUAAUGCAUGAUGAUUAUGUUGACAUGCAAGUUACAAAUCUAUUUAGGGAAUCUGAUUUUUAUAUGGGUGAAAUCAUUUCCUAACGCCCGAAUCCGAAAUAAAAGAUGCAAGAUGCAAUAAAAUUAUGACUUAUUUAUGUCGACAUGCCUGUGAAUUAUGCAGACAUGCGACUUAUUUAUGCUAACAUGCCAGUUAAUUAUGUUGACAUGCGACUUAUUUAUGUCGACAUGCGACUGUUUUUAUGUAAACAUGCAAGUUACUUAUGUUAAUUUGCAAGAUAUUUAUGUCAACAUGCGAGAUAUUAAUGUCAAUAUGCUAGUUAAUUAUGUGGACAUGCGACUUACGUAUAUAUGCCAACAUGUGAGUUAUUUAUGUUAACAUGCGUGAUAAGUUGCAUGUUGACAUAAAUAUCUUGCAUGUUGACAUCAUUAAUUGCAUGUGUACAUAUAUAUGUCGCAUAUCCACAUAAUUAACUCGCAUAUUGACAUGGAUAAGUCGCAUGUCUACAUAAUUAUGUUGCGUCUUGCAUAUGGGAUGCCAGAUACGUGUGUUACAUGUAAUAAGUGAUUUAAGUACAUGUACAUAUAAAUCAGAUUUACUUAAGAAUUUGUAACUUGCAUUUGAACUUAAUAACUUGCAUGUAUACAUAAUUAUCUUGCAUGUUCACAUAAGGUCGUAUGUUGAUAUAAUUAAUCUUGCAUGUAGGGGGCAGAAAUAUGCCACCAUAUAUUGGGGUUUUUUUUUUGUAUACUAUCAGUCCAGUAUGAUAAGACAUUUGUUGUCGGUCAUUGAUUUGAUUAUUUAAUGAACUAUUAUAAUAAUUAUAUUAUUACAAUAUGAUCAAACAGUCCAGAGUUUUCACAUGUCUUGACUUAUAAUCUGUUAUUUAUGUUGCAAAAUUAUGUUCACAAUGCAGAUAGUUCAUCAAUAUUUUAUUCAGAAAACCGAUUCUUAUCAUGUUGGAUUGCAAUAUGAUACAUUGUAUGAAUUAUAUUGAAUGCCUAAGAUAUUUAAUUGUGUUGACAAUCUUAUACCACUUAUGAAUAUAAUACCUUAUUUAAUGGAUUCCAUUAAAAAGAUGAAAUCAUG
rnacentral:sRNA from 1 species